GAGAUGCAUUCAUAUAAACUCCUACUCCAAUUGUAUCGCGAUUUGUUUGGCUUCUCAACCUAUUUGAAUCGAUAACAUAUUUGAAUCGAUGUUCGACCGGCUCGCGGUUAAUCGUUACUUCCCUAAUCCUUAUCAAAUUCUGUGCU